rnacentral:rRNA from 1 species
AAUGAACGCUGGCGGCGUGUCUUAAGCAUGCAAGUCGUGCGGCAAGGGUAGCAAUACUCCUAGAGCGGCGGACUGGUGAGUAACGCGUGGGUGAUCUGCCCUUGGGUUGGGGAUAGCCAUUAGAAAUAGUGGGUAAUACCGAAUACGAUGGGGAGACUGUGGUCUUGUCAUGAAAGGCGCUUCGGCGCCACCCGAGGAUGAGCCCGCGUCCCAUUAGCUAGUUGGUGAGGUAACGGCCCACCAAGGCGAUGAUGGGUAGGCGGCCUGAGAGGGUGUACGCCCACACUGGGACCGAGAUACGGCCCAGACUCCUACGGGAGGCAGCAGCUAAGAAUAUUCCGCAAUGGACGAAAGUCUGACGGAGCGACGCCGCGUGGAUGGCGAAGGCCGAAAGGUUGUAAAAUCCUUUUGUUGGGGAAGAAUAAGGCUGGGAGGGAAUGCCCGGCUGAUGACAUGAACCGACGAAUAAGUCCCGGCUAACUACGUGCCAGCCGCCGCCGUAA